rnacentral:rRNA from 1 species
CCUACGGGAGGCAGCAGUAAGGAAUAUUGGUCAAUGGACGCAAGUCUGAACCAGCCAUGCCGCGUGGAGGAUGAAGGUCCUCUGGAUUGUAAACUUCUUUUAUUUGGGAAGAAACCACCGAUUUCUAUUGGUGUUGACGGUACCAGAUGAAUAAACACCGGCUAACUCCGUGCCAGCAGCCGCGGUAAU